AUGCUGUGGAGAACAUCUGGCCGCCAUUUACACUUCAUUUCCUCCAUGUUUCGAUCUGGUGCCUCCACUCCUCACCACCUCUUUAUCUGUCGUGGCAGCAGCAAUGGAGGUCUCCAAGGCCCCUUCCUCUUCUGGUUUGGCAACCCGCCAGCCCUCCAAAUGUUAAUUCUUGAGAAAUGGCACAGUGCCAAUGCGGUGUGCUUCGAUGUGGAUAGCAUUGUAUGCUUGUAUGAGGGUAGUGACGAGCUUGCUGAUUUAUGUGGGGCUGGGCAGGCGGUUGUCGAGUGGACGACAAAGGCGAUGAUAGGGACCGUUCCAUUUGAAGAGGCUCUUGCUGCCUGGAUCUCUUUAAGCAAGCCAUCUCUGUCCCAAGUUGAGGACCCCAAUAAUACUGAAGUAUUCCUUGUGUCCGGAGGUUUCUGGCAAAUGAUCAAGGUCGAUUUAAAAUUAUGGAAGAGCAAGGGAGGUGGGAAGAGUUGUGCACUUUUAUCCUUUCUACUAACGCAUCAUAGCAUCUGA
rnacentral:rRNA from 1 species